ACUCCUACGGGAGGCAGCAGUGGGGAAUAUUGCACAAUGGGCGCAAGCCUGAUGCAGCCAUGCCGCGUGUAUGAAGAAGGCCUUCGGGUUGUAAAGUACUUUCAGCAGUGAGGAAGGUGGAGUCGUUAAUAGCGGCCUCAUUUGACGUUAGCUGCAGAAGAAGCACCGGCUAACUCCGUGCCAGCAGCCGCGGUAAUACGGAGGGUGCGAGCGUUAUCCGGAUUUAUUGGGUUUAAAGGGUCCGUAGGCGGGUUAAUAAGUCAGUGGUGAAAUCCCAUCGCUUAACGAUGGAACUGCCAUUGAUACUGUUAGUCUUGAAUGAGGGUGCAGUGGUUGGAAUGUGUAGUGUAGCGGUGAAAUGCAUAGAUAUUACACAGAACACCGAUUGCGAAGGCAGAUCACUAACCCUAAAUUGACGCUGAGGGACGAAAGCGUGGGGAGCGAACAGGAUUAGAUACCCUGUAGGUGACAAU
rnacentral:rRNA from 1 species